rnacentral:lncRNA from 1 species
AGUUUUUAAAGAUCUUAUGCAGUCUAUUUUUUUUUUGUAUUAGUGGAUGACUAAGAUUUAACUAAUUUAUUUUUUAAUUUAUUAACCACUAAUCACUUGAGUGAAUUUUUCUUAGAAGGAAAUCAGAUAAUGAAAGAAUUAUGAUCUAGUAUGAUAGCCAUGCAAGGAGUUGUGCAUUAGGUAUCGUCACGGAAUUGACCUGGAGGUGUGUUUUGUUGACAACGGUAGAUUUGCUUUCAUAAUCCAAAUGAUAUAUAUAUAUAUAUGGUGAGAUUGCCAUGACUUGUCUUGAAAGAAAAUCUGCAACUGUGUUGGAUUCUCCUUUGGUGUGCUUUACUUCGAACUUGAACAUUGAGAGAGACACAGACN